GGGGGGGGGGGGGGGGGGGGGGGGGGGGGGGGGGGGGGGGGGGGGGGGCUGCGUGGGUGGGGUGCGCGCGUGGCGAGCGGGGGAGUGCGGCGGGGGUAGGGGGCGGUUGGGUGGGGGAUGAGUGGGGAGUACUGGGGCUCAUGGCGGAUAGGCUCUGGAGCGGCGUGUUGUGGGUUGGCACGGUUCGGCGGUUGGGGGUGGACUCGCGGCUUAUGAGUUUGUUGGUGGGGUAGUGGCGUACCAAGGCUUUGACGGGUGGCCGGCCUGAGAGGGGGACCGGCCACAUUGGGAAUGAGAUACGGCCCAGACUCCUACGGGAGGCAGCAGUGGGGAAUAGUGCACAAUGGGCGGAAGCCUGAUGCAGCAACGCCGCGUGCGGGAUGACGGCCUUCGGGUUGUAAACCGCUUUCGCCUGUGACGAAGCGUGAGUGACGGUAAUGGGUAAAGAAGCACCGGCUAACUACGUG
rnacentral:rRNA from 1 species